AAUAUUCCUUUGUUUAGCCAGCCUUUCUAUCUUUAGAAACUAACCAUCUGCAGUAUUGACGCCGCCCAUUUGCGGUGGCCUUCAAUUUCUGCUUUCUAUUCUCGGAACACUCUUUUUCUCCCUACUCCAAAAGUAACCUUUUAUCUCCGUAUAUACAUAUAAAUUCACAAUUUAUUUCUCUUGAACUUUGUGUUUACCGAGUUUCGAGGGAUUCAACAAACACCAGUUUGUCAACUUAUGGAAGAAACGUAGAAACUCAGGUCGGUAUUUGGAAGCUACCCAGUAAAAAUAUAGGCUUUGGGUCCUUUUAAUUAUUAUUGAUAAUUUGUAAAGUUGAAUAUUUUGCAUUUUCCUCUGCAUCUGUUGGUGGGUUUUGUGCUGAGUUCAUUUCAGCUCAAUUUCAGGUAAUACCCAUAUCCAAUUUCACUGAGUCGUUGUGGGUUUGGCUAGUUUUUGGCUUCUUUUUUUUAUUGUAAUAUUUGCUGAUAAGAAGAUAUAUCUGAGUUGGGUUACUAUUAUUUUAGUUUUCUUAUUUUUUUUGUGUUUUAUUUUAUUGAAAGCUGUGGCAUUUUCUUUGCUAUGGGAGUUUUGCGGCUAAGGUGAGAGAGAAUCCGUGAAUUUUCAGUCUAAGGUCAGUAUGCAGUGCUGUUUUAUUUGCUCAAGUUUGAAGGAAUUUUUAGUCGGUUCAAUUGUCUUAAGGAUUGAUUGAAUCUUCACGUGACUGGUUCUUAUUUUGAUAAUUAAUAUGGGGUGUUCCAAUAACUUUUUGUUUGUAAAGGGAUUUUUUUUAGUAAAGGGACAAUUUUUUUUUUUUUGUAUAUAAAGGGACAAGGUGGAUGAUUUUCAUUUGUGGGCAUUGCAGGUUUGUGCUGUUUCAAUUGAGGAAGUUGGGUAUUUUGUUGGUUGGUUUGAACAAAUCAAUUGGGAAGAGAUAAAAUUAGGUUUUUCUUUCACCAAAAUAUUGGUGAGUGUAGUAGAGGUGGAGAGUUUUGAGUUUUGAGGGUGGAGCUUGGAUGAAGAUGAUGUUCAAAUACUGGGUUCUGGGUUUUCAAGUUGGUGAGGAUUUUAGGGAAGAAUAUAACUUUGUGUAGGAAAGUCUUUUGAAAGAGUUAUAGCAUUUUGAUA
rnacentral:lncRNA from 1 species